rnacentral:misc_RNA from 1 species
UUUGUUUACCCCCCCCCGCCGUCACACCAUGAGAGUUGGCAAUACCCGAAGUCCGUGAGCUAACCGCAAGGAGGCAGCGGCCGAAGGUAGGGUCAGCGAUUGGGGUGAAGUCGUAACAAGGUAGCCGUAGGAGAACCUGCGGCUGGAUCACCUCCUUUCUAAGGAAUACAUCUUAGGACAACUAAGAUGAUAAUGAAUUCUGGAUAAUAUCUCUGUUUAAUUUUGAGAGACUAUCUCUCAAAAUUGUUCUUUGAAAAUUGCACAUAAUUUAAUUUAUAGAAACAACAAGCCAAAUUGGCAAAACCAAUUUCUAUUCUUUGUAAAAUGAGAACUAUAACUAAUAUAGGUCAAGCUACAAAGGGCGCAUGGUGAAUGCCUUGGCAUCAGGAGCCGAUGAAGGACGUGAUAAGCUGCGAUAAGCUUCGGGUAGGCGCACAUAGCCUGAGAUCCGAAGAUCUCCGAAUGAGGAAACUCACAUGGGAAACCCCAUGUAUCAUUAAGUGAAUACAUAGCUUAAUGAAGGUAACCCAGGGAACUGAAACAUCUAAGUACCUGGAGGAAGAGAAAGAAAAAUCGAUUUUCUUAGUAGCGGCGAGCGAAAGGGAAAGAGCCCAAACCGGAAACUUGUUUCCGGGGUUGUGGACAUARCAUAAAAGUGGAGGCUAUUGUAACUGAAGAGAACUGGAAAGUUCCACCGUAGAAGGUAAUAGUCCUGUAAGUGAAACGAGAAGACCACGAGUUAUGAUCCAGAGUACCACGAGACACGUGAAACCUUGUGGGAAGCAGGGAGGACCACCUCCCAAGGCUAAAUACUACCUGAUGACCGAUAGUGAAGCAGUACCGGAGGGGGAAAAGGA